rnacentral:rRNA from 1 species
GGACGGGACCCGCACAAGCGGUGGAUGAUGUGGAUUAAUUCGAUGACAACGACGAAAACCUUACCUACCCUUGACAUGUCCGGAAUCCCGAAGAGAUUUGGGAGUGCUCGAAAGAGAACCUGCACACAGGUGCUGCAUGGCUGUCGUCAGCUCGUGUCGUGAGAUGUUGGGUUAAGUCCCGCAACGAGCGCAACCCUUGCCAUUAGUUGCUACGAAAGGGGCACUCUAAUGGGACUGCCGGUGACAAACCGGAGGAAGGUGGGGAUGACGUCAAGUCCUCAUGGCCCUUAUAGGUGGGGCUACACACGUCAUACAAUGGCCGGUACAGAGGGUAGCCAACCCGCGAGGGGGAGCCAAUCCCACAAAGCCGGUCGUAGUCCGGAUCGCAGUCUGCAACUCGACUGCGUGAAGUCGGAAUCGCUAGUAAUCGCGGAUCAGCAUGUCGCGGUGAAUACGUUCCCGGGUCUU